CACCAGAUCCUUAACCCACUGAGGAGGCCAGGGAUUGAACCCACAACCACAUGGUUCCUAGUCAGAUUUGUUUCUGCUGUGCCAUGACGGGAACUCCUGUAUUGUGUUUUUUUAAUAGAUCUUGCACACUUUCAAAAGUUUUAUUACAGGGCAUAUUUAUUUUUGCUAAAUACUGUCUAAGAAAAGUUUGUUUUCCAAUUGUCAGCAUAUAGAACAUUUGGUUUUGUAUAACUAGGAAAUAAUGGCAGUUUUAUUUCUCCCUUUCUAGUUGUUACACAUAUGAUUUUCUUGCUUUUGCUGUGCUGGUUGGGACGUCCAGUGUAGUACUGAAUAGAAAAGGUAAUAUCUCUGUCUUAUUUGUGUCUCUCACAGGAAGUUUUCUGUAUUUCUCCUCUAAAUAUGUUUCCUGUAGAUGGACUGAGUUUUUUUAUCAGGUGGUUUUUUUCUUUGUUUAUUGAGAUGAUUGUUUUUUCUCCUUUAUUCUGCUAAUGCAGUGUAUUACGAAAACUUUUUCUUUACAUUGUUGAACUAGAUUUGCAUUGCUGGAAUAACAAUCAGUAUUUGAUAGAAUUUGCCAGUGUUUGAGUAAAUUAUUGAAUUAUUAAAUAGAUUAAGUAAGUUUAUAGGUACAAGAUUAUUUGAAUUUUUAUUGACUAUAUUAAUGUCUGCAGAUUCAAGACCAGUUUAUGGCUUUCUUGACAUUUUCUACAGUAUACUUUUAUUAAUUUGUGUUAAUUUACUUCUGUUUUCUUGAAGGAGAGAUGUUUUCACCUUAGUAUGUUGAUUUCUUCUUUUCCUAAUAAAUGAGUUUAGAGUUAUAAGUUUACUCCAUAGCCGGUUUCAUUCUCACAAGUUUUGAUGUAAACGCCAUUGAGUUAAAUGCAUAUUUUAUGUACUUUCUUUGAACUGUGGGUUACUUAGAUGUACAUUUCUUGAUUUUCAAAUAUAAUUUAUUAUCAGUUUCUACCUUAAUUGCUUUAUAGUCAGAUGCCCUGAUUUUAAUCCUUUGAACAUGUUUGAAAUUUACUCUGUGGUCCAACAUACAAUGAGUUUGUGUGUGUAUGUGUAUAAAAUCUCCCUGAAUCUUGUUCUGUUACUUGCUGAGAAAUUGUGUACUGUUACAGGUUUGCUUAUUCCUCUUUGAACUGUCAAUUUUUAUAUGGUUGAACUCAGAUUAUUAGGUGUAUAUAUGCUGUAUACAUUUGGAACUUUUAUGGUAAACUGAACCUUCAGUUUUGGAAAUAACAAGGCUUGAUUUUCAGUAACACUUUCUGUUAAGGCCUAUUUAGUCUGAUUUAAUAUAGGUGUUAUAUCAGCUUUAAGAUGUUUAGAAAGAUGAAAAAGAUACAUCAUGUAGUGUAUCCUACUCUGGGUUUUUAACUUUGUAGCUUGUUGGUUUUCAUCAUUUUUUUCUUCAAGUUCUCAAUCAUCUCUUUAAAUAUUGUUUCUGCCCCUUUCUCUUUGUUCUCCCAGACUCCAGUUAAACAAAAUUAAGCCUUCAUUGGCUUUCUCUCCUUUUGCCUCUUCUCUGUAUUUUCUCUUGACUCAGUUCUCUCAUCAGUUAUGACUAAUGUCAUGGUAAAUUUAUCCAUUGAAUUCUUUUUACUUACUGUUUUUCAAUUCUAGAAUUUUAUCUCUUCGCCCUGCAAAUCUGCUGUUCCUUUUUAUGGUUUACAGCUGACCCACCGACGGUCUUUUACUUAACAUGGCAAAACCAAGUAUGCUUUCAGAAAUAGACACAUAGUGUAUAUGGUCCAAAAAAAAAAGAAAAGCCAAGAAGUUGAUUACUGCAUGAGUCAGGACAGUGCUCUCUCUGGUGCAAGGAGGGGACUACGAUUCUGCAGGAGUGCAGAGGCGGCUUUUAAGAUGGCUUAUACUCUGGUAUAAGACGAAGAAACUUCCAAACAUCCAGUGAUUACUUUUUAGUCUUCUCAUUGAGGAUUUUCUACUUAAAAUAGCAUCUGUUCUGCCGUUGCUCUCAGAAAUACGAUGGUUGCAAACACUUUAUUCUCCCAGAUGUUUGAAGACUGGAACAGGCCUACAUGAUGAUUUUGCCUGGUAAGUCACUUCUCUCAAAACAAAACUAUGCACUAGAUAUGAGUUAAAUGUUCUUAGGACCUUGUCAGAAAAUACCCAUAAAUGAUGUUUAUGUGAUAGAUUUUUUAAUGUGUUUAAAAUAACUGUUUUCACUUGUAAUAGGUGAGAGUGGAGGACAUAAACACUUAAACAAUAAAAUAACUGUUUUCCUGGAACUAUGAUUGCUGUUCCCAUCAAAGUAACACAACCUAAUCAAUAACAUUUGAAUUCAUCCAGACCAACCAAUUCCCACAGAACUUUGGAAUCGCUAAAAAUCAAACACAGACACACAGAUAAGUAUAGUAUUUAAUCGAAAUAUAUUUGUCUAAUAUCUACAAAGUGUGAACAAUUGGUCUUAAGAAAGCAGACAAAGGCACAAAAUUAGUAUUACUACGGAGAAGCAUUCAUGCUACUGGAUUUUAUAAAUAUUCUCGUUAGAAUGGCACAGUAAAAAAUAAAUUAAGCAUUGAGCAAAGAUCAAAUACUUCCUUUUCUCCUAGCUUUAUAUUCUGGUCAUGUCUUGACCUCAUGUGUAAAGGCUGAAGACUGAAAUUCAACUGAAACCGUGGAACACUUAGGCAGGCUGUAUGUAUGUUUUAAUCACAGUGGUCUUCUUGCAGAGUUUGUGUCAAACAAGAGAGGUGCACUUUAAAAAAAAAAUCCACAGGAAAUUCUUUUUCCUUUCCCCAAACUAAGUACAAGAUUGAAGCUAUGGUUGUGCGUGUUGGUGCAUGCAUGCGUGCGUGUAUUUUGUUUCUAAAGCCCUUUUUUCAUCAUAAAAGUAGUGAUGUCUCCAUAUGAUUUGUUUUCUACCAUGAAAGAAGCAGCUUUUGCAAAAUGGAUGACUUGAGCAUUGAACAUGGGAAAUUUUCAGGUCAGGCUCUGGGGCAAUGACAGGAGGAAAAUUCCAAGGCAGACCUGACUCUUCCAGAGGUGCUCCAUCCUGCAAGGCUCUGGCAUAACCUUGAACCCUGUCUACUCCCCCUCCAGCAGGAAAUGGCAGUUUGUCUUUCUGGAGCACAAACAAAUGUUGGAGUUGGCAGGGGAAUGGGAAUCAAUGAUAAUUCUGAAAUGACAGCCCCCUUCUACCAGGAACGAGCCACUUUCUACCAUAUGGACAUCAAGUGGGCCAGUUCCCUCUUGCCUGGACAGGAGCUGAUGACAGAAGAUUUUGAGAGUGCAAAAACAUUUUUGGCCAACUGAAAAAUAGAAAACUUUGAACCUCAUUGAUAAAAAGGAGCUCAAAAUCAUCACCCCACUUCAACACUGGGCUACUUCUGAAAGCUCUGCAUCUCCACCCAUCAGUGUGCCUUCCAAAGGGGAUUGAAGUACACCCAGCUGUCACCCUGCAAGAGAGAAAAAGACACAUCACUACAUGGACACCUCGAGAGGCAAGAAGCAAGGGUACCCCCAGCUCUGCCCGCAAUGCACAGUGGUGCUUGUUACCAUCCAUUCAGCACCAUGGACCUGUGCGCCUGCCUCGCUCCCCGGGUCUCACAGCCAAGCCACACGGUGGCCUCAACUACCCUUCCUCAGCCCAGCUGCUUCUCAGAGCCCCUGUGAUCUUCACAUCUGGCAUUUCGGAUGAUGGAGCGGGGGAGCUUUGUUGGUUUACAUCAAGGAAGAUUAGUUGGCAAAAGAAAAAAAAAAGAAAACCUUUUGAAACAGCAGGACACGAGAAAAAAAGAGGGUAAAUGAAUGAACGGACAGGGAAGAGAAAGAUAACAGCCUGACUAUGGGGAAUCUGCCAGACCAGUGGUUUCUUUCCCGCCCACCGGCCUGGAGAGGAUUCUGACAAAAGACACAGGCAGCAGCCACAAAUACACCAGCACACACGGGAAAUGACACCUAUCAAAUACUAGCAAGGAAAAGACAAAAAUCAAAAGGUCUGCAGUCUGGUGCUAGAUGAGAGGGGGUACUCCACUAAAUGGUAACAAUUCUGGUACGGGGGUGAUUUUUAUUCUUUCCACUUCCUCAAGCCUUCUGCUAUAAAGAGACUAGCUUUUAUUAUACCCGCUAAUUAAAAAAAAAAAAAAACUGUUACAUUGUAAGUCAAUAAAAUGAAAACAAACAACUUUGUAGGGAAAAUCAAAUUUUUUUUUUUGGUGGUUGUCAUUUUGUUUUUUAAUGUACAACUUUCUAUAGAAACCAGGCAAACGAGCUGUCUCAGAGAAACUAGACCACCCUACAGAAGAAUCCCUGAGGGAUGGUUAAACGUUUCUUUUCUUUUGGCCAUGCCCAUGGUAUGCAGAAGUUUCCGGGCUCAAGCACUGAACCUGAGCCACAGCAGUGACAAUGUCGGAUCAUUAACCUACUGAGCCACCAGGGAACUCCCUGAGAUGGUUAAUUUUAUGCAUUGCCUUAACUGGCCACGUGGUCCCCAAGGUUAAAUAUUUCUUCUGAGUGUGUUUGUCAGGGUUUUUGCACAUGAGGUAGCCUUUGAACUGGGGAGUUGAGUGAAGGUGACAGGCACCCCUCUCCAGGGUGAGUGGGCAUCAUCCAGUGUGUGGGGCCUGAAGAGAACAAAAGCUGGAGGAGGAAGGAAGUGGCCCUUUCUUUCCUGCCUCACUGUUGAGCUGACAUCUCAUCUCAUCUUCUGCCCUCGGGCUGGGAUUCACGCCACUGGCUCCCUUGGGUCUCAGGCUUUUGGACUUGGACUGAACCACACCACGGGCUUUCCUGCGGCUCCAGCUUGCAAACCAUGGAUCUUGUGGCUCUUCAGCCUCCACAAUACAUCUAUAUAAUAAAUUCCUAUUGGUUCUGUGCUGUUUCUCUGGAGAACCCUGACCAGUACAGAGUCACUUCACCUGGACAAGGCCUCCAGAUGGGGAUCCCAUCAGAAUCUCCCCAAGCUUCCUGUUUGAACCCGCAUCAGACCCUCAUAUCUGCCUUUGGCCCAUGACCCUCGUUCCUGCCUCUGGGAAAAGGGUGGCUGCUUCCUGCUCCCAACCGGAAGCCCAGCUCAAGGUUACUAACUGUCCCCGCAGUCCUCCAGCUACACAGAGCCAGCCUUUCUAGGAACAUAAGUCAGACACUAGUAGCAUCUGGGCAAAGAAAGCCUAGACAUAUUUCAGUUGGCUCUCAGUGUUUAAAUUAUUAAAAAUUCCUUGAUGCCAAGUAAAUAUCAGAUCUUAUAAAAAUUCAGAUUUCUGGCUUCUCAUAAAGAACUGGGUGAUCUGUCUGUGAGGGCCUGGAGGCUGGUGCCAUGCACCCCUUUACAUACAGCCUCUGGCCUGCCCACUCCUCACUGGCCUGCUUCAUCGAUGCUGAUGGGUUCCUGACUGCCUGCCUUAAAAACCGUGCUUCCUAAACUUCUGCUGUUCCCAUUCAGUUCUCAGAAUGCUGCCCGAAUGCUCCAUAAACAAGUGGGUACCCAGAGUUUUGCCCAGUGGAUGGGCGCUGAUGGGGAUGAGGUAUCCACCGCCAAUGCUACUGCCAACAGCAUCACGUGGGCCCCGAACCCAUACAGCCCUCCCUCCCCAGCAAGUCCAUCCCACUCCACCCAGGGGAGGCAAAGCUCUGCAAGGGUGCUUGUCAUUGGGAAGGUUCCAGCCCACUCAGGUGUGGAGAUGAGCUGUGGAGAGGCCUCACCACUUGGAGUAGCAGGGCUGGGAUCUUUUUUAAGCAGGAUAGCGGCCAGAUCUGCAGUCCCACACCGGGCUGCCCCACGGAGGAAUACUUCCCCGAUAGAGAAUUCGGGUAGCAUCAACCACCCCCAGGACCGCCUGCCACAGCCACAGCCGCGGCCAUGCCAUCCCACCUCCCAGGCUCUCCCCACCCAGCCUGCUCAUCGAAACCCCGUGUCAGGGUACAGGCCACCCUGCCCAGGACACCAU